AUGGGAACGCGAAGAACCUUACCUAGACUUGACAUCUCCUGAACAGUGUAGAGAUACAUGAAGCCCUUCGGGGCAGGAAGACAGGUGGUGCAUGGUUGUCGUCAGCUCGUGUCGUGAGAUGUUGGGUUAAGUCCCGCAACGAGCGCAACCCUUAUUACUAGUUGCUACCAUUAAGUUGAGCACUCUAGUGAGACUGCCCGGGGUUAACCGGGAGGAAGGCGGGGAUGACGUCAAAUCAUCAUGCCCCUUAUGUCUAGGGCAACACACGUGCUACAAUGGUGAGUACAGAUAGAUGCGAUACCGCAAGGUGGAGCCAAACUCUAAAACUCAUCCCAGUUCGGAUUGUAGGCUGCAACUCGCCUACAUGAAGUUGGAGUUGCUAGUAAUCGCGAAUCAGAAUGUCGCGGUGAAUACGUUCCCGGGUCUUGUACACACCG
rnacentral:rRNA from 1 species